rnacentral:tRNA from 1 species
AGUAGGGUAAGCUAAGAUGUGUAAGCUGUCGGGCUCAUACCCCGGAAAUGAGUGUUGUGGUGGGCUCCUCUGCUG